rnacentral:rRNA from 1 species
UACGGGGGGGGCAAGCGUUGUUCGGAAUUACUGGGCGUAAAGGGCUCGUAGGUGGCCAACUAAGUCAGACGUGAAAUCCCUCAGCUUAACUGGGGAACUGCGUCUGAUACUGGAUGGCUUGAGUUUGGGAGAGGGAUGCGGAAUUCCAGGUGUAGCGGUGAAAUGCGUAGAUAUCAGGAGGAACACCGGUGGCGAAGGCGGCUCUCUGGACGGUGACUGACGCUGAGACGCGAAAGCGUGGGGAGCAAACAGG